AGAGGGAUAGCUGGGUCUAAUGGUGGUUCCAUUCCCAGUUUUCAAGGAAUUUCCAUAAUGCUUUCCAUAUUGGCUGCACCAAUUUGCAGUCCCACCAGCAAU
rnacentral:pre_miRNA from 1 species